GACAGAGGGUGCAAACGUUGUUCGGAAUUACUGGGCGUAAAGCGCGUGUAGGCAGUCUUGCAAGUCGGGUGUGAAAGCCCUGGGCUCAACCUAGGAAGUGCACUCGAAACUGCAGGACUGGAGUCCUGGAGAGGAAGGCGGAAUUCUCGGUGUAGAGGUGAAAUUCGUAGAUAUCGAGAGGAACACCGGUGGCGAAGGCGGCCUUCUGGACAGUGACUGACGCUGAGGCACGAAAGCUAGGGGAGCAAACAGG
rnacentral:rRNA from 1 species